CACACACACACACGCACAUAGUUCACAGCUACACAUGCGCACACACACACACACACACACACAAACACACACACACACACACACACACAUAAACUCAGAGCCACACACACACACACACACACACACACACACACACACACACACACACAUAAACUCAGAGCCACACACACACACACACACACACAUAUAAACUCAGGUCUACUUACAAACACACACACACGCAUUCAAACUCAGAGCCACACACAGACACACAAACACACAGCUACAAACACACACACAAAUCCGCUCUGAGCAACACACACACACACACACACACAAAUAUGCUCAGAGCUACAAACAAAUACAUACCCACAUACACACACACAUAACUUGCCCCUACACACACACACACACACACACACAUAACUCCUACACACCUGCUCAAUGUUGCCCCAUUGCAACACAUUCUAUUGUCACGCCUGUGAUUGACAUUGAUUGUAACACACCCACUCACUUUCUCUCUCUCUCCCACUCUCUCUCUGUCUCCAACUGGGAAAGUCCCACACACACAAACACCUUUGCUACUUAAGGAGUCGCACUCGAACACAUUCACAGAGGAACACUGAACCGCAGGUGGGACUCACUCGCUCAACGACACAGCAACACGCACCCAAGGAAGAUCCUUUCACCCCAUUGAUGCCCAUCGCCAAGGCAACAUUCCCAGCACCAGCCUAAGUUACCCCCGCUGUCCACCAAACUGCUACCAUGACUAUGUACGGACUCCCGAUCCUGGCGGCUGUUUGCUGCAGUCUCCUUCUCCUCACGUUGUUCCCGGUCGGCUCAGAAUCAGCAAGCUGCUGCCUAAGAUACCGCCAACUCCGGUUGAAAUGUAAAGAUACCCACCACUAUUCCCUGCAGAACAUCAACGGGUCUUGCGACAUGCGAGCUGUGAUGUGAGUAGGCCUUCAUCGACCCUCAAAGUAAAAGCCUUAGUGUAUUGAAUUAUAGUCUAGUGUUGUAUUGCGUAAAAGUCCUGGGAAAGAUAGCUUAAGAUUUGCUCAAAUUUAUAAUAAAGCCAUCUACAGCGGUAGGCAUACGUUUUGGCACCCAUGCUAAAGUUGUUUAAUUGAGGCAUUAAGAUGUUUUAUUCUUCUUUUUAGAGAAUUUUAUCAUGGGUGCCUUAACUUAGGCCUACUACUGUAUGUAGGAAAUGUUAGCCUGUAAGUGUACAGAAUAUACCAAUAAAUAUUUUGAUUUGAAGAAAUAGGCUAUGUUGCCUUCAUUAUGAAACAUUGCUCCUUUGCAACAACAGUGCUUAACAAAUUGUACGUAGACAUCCUACGUUAUGCUUAUAGUAAUGUGCUCAUUGAUACGAGGAAGCUGUCCUCAUUUGUGAUGGAGUUAACAUCGCAAACGGUCUGGCUGGACCUGACACUUGGUUUCAGAAGGAGGAGGGUUGUGUAUUGAUGGAACGGGUUUGCUUCCUUCCUCAUCCAAUUUCCUGCCAUGUUCUCUUCCCUCACAGCUUCCACGUUGGACAGAAAUUUGUCUGUGCUGAUCCGAAUGGAAAGAGGACCAAACAUCUCAUGGCUUGUUUGGAGUGAGUACUGCCCAGCAUAUGUCCACACAACAGUGUCUGCAUGCCAUAGCAGUUUCUAUAUUCCAUGAUAGCAAAAUGUUAUGGAUAUGAGGAAAUUCAACAAUGAAAUAAAAUGGUUCAAUUUGACUGUAAAUGAAGACAUAAUUCGUACAUGAGAACACGCAUUUGCAAUCGUAUACAUUUUUUUCACGCCACACAGUCGGAAAAAAUGAUAACCCCAGAGUCCGGGUAGGAUUUUAGAUGUUCAGCAUCAGACACCCCUGGUUCCUUUGUGUCUUUAUACAUUGAUCGGACCUUUGAGGCUCAAAUCCUCAGAGGCUUAAUUGUAAUGUGCUGAGGUGACACACCUGCUCAGCUAGAGUAACAUAUUCUGUUUUUUCGCAGUAACAAGGGGAGAACCCGCAACAGAUGGCAUUCCUGACUUCACCAAGAAUCAUAAUUGUUGCAUGAUGAUUGUAUCUUUUUGAAUAGCUUUUGUUAUUGUUCUCAUAGGGCUCACUUGUUUUUUGAAGUGGAACUUUACACCAGUCACGACAUAUUGAGCAACAAAGAUAUGAAUGUGAAAUUAAGAAAGUCCGAUACAAUGGAAAGACUCAACAAAAAUGUCUCAAUGGGGAAACUUGUCUUUUCUGUGGAAUGAUCAAAUUGUAAAAGCCCAAAAAAAAAAAGUGUUUUAUGCGGAGUGGGUUGAAUUGAGAAAUUGAGAGAUUGAAUUAAUGACAUUUUAUUAUGUUAUCUACGGUUAUGUAUUUUCCACCUCAAACUAAACAAAUGUAGUUCCCAUGUUAACCCUUACUUUGUUCUGUGAACAAAAAAAGAAUGUUUGCUAAUAAAAUUAAAUAUUGAAAGAAAACAACAACUGAAUAUUAAUCUAAUUUUAAACUGUUUUUCAAUAUGCAAAAUAAUAUGAUACAUUCAUUACACAUUAUCUCAAAAUUACUUUAAUUAGUUGCAAUUCAUUGUCAUACAAACUAUUAAUUCCUAGGGCUUGGAUACGAAAAUCAAUCAAGUUAUUGAAAGUAUGAAAUAAAAUGAGAUUGCAAAGGGUCUUGAGGAACAUCGAUUUUGGAAUCCUAAGGCACACCAUGACAUAUUUCUGUUGUCCUCCCCUUUGAGUAUUUAUUACCAGGUCCUCUGCUUUGACCAGAUACACUGCCUUGCACACAAAACCACACAAAACCAGUCAAACCCUUUGGACACAUUAAGCUUUUUACUGGUCUGGUCUCUCUCCGGGGGAUCCCUACACCACGGUGAGCCGUAGAUGCUCUCCCAUUGGGUGCUCCUGGGUGUCCAGGGCCUGCUGGAGCUUCUCCCAGAACAGGUCUGGGUGUGCGUCUGCGCGGGACCAGCUCAGGUAGGUUUGUCUCUUCAGGAGCCUCCUCAUGCGGUAGUACGGAGACAGCUGCUGCAUGGGAAUGUCCUCCAGGAACACCAGGAUCAGCACGUCCUUCUGCUCGUCAAACAGACGGAAGCUGGGGAAUGGAAACGGGGAGAGUUGUUUUUUCAUGUAUGUGUGCUGUUAAACCUUCAGGGGAAGGUUGGUCGAUGCCCCCAUCCACCCCCAGUCAGACCAACACAAACCAUACCUUUCCAAAUGGUUGAAUUGGUCCUUGAGCAGAAAUACUUUCCUACUAUACUCAAGUAUUAUUUGUGAAUAUCUCUAAUUCUGUUGAUUUUCUCUGUUGAUUUUUGAAUGGUAACAAGCAAGUAGGGGGGGGGAAGAGUGGACAUGCAGAGGAUGCAUCAGAAGAGAAUGCAGCCACAGAACUCAAAAUUGACACAAUAUGUACACAAUAAAAGAGAAAAUGCCUGAAAGCAGUACAAAAGAGGACCCUAAGUACUUGUUUAUUGCUGCUUGAAACUCAGCUUUGCUAUAGUAAUGGGUGUCGCUCUCACUCACCUCUGUAGAGCAUGUCUACAUACAGCCGAUAAGAAUAACUUGACUUAUAACUUGAAAAUGCAUAAGAUCGCACUGCUUUUCUUUCUGCUUUCACUUUUUGAAUGUGACAAUCUCGGUUGUUGAACAAAUAUAUAUUCUAUACCUUAAGAAGAAUUCUUCUUCAUUUAUGUGAAAAGGUUUAUAUUAUUAUGUUUACUACGGUC
ensembl:lncRNA